rnacentral:rRNA from 1 species
AUUGAACGCUGGCGGCAGGCCUAACACAUGCAAGUCGAGCGGAUGAAGGGAGCUUGCUCCUGGAUUCAGCGGCGGACGGGUGAGUAAUGCCCAGGAAUCUGCCUGGUAGUGGGGGAUAACGUCCGGAAACGGGCGCUAAUACUGCAUACGUCCUGCGGGAGAAAGAGGGGGAGCUUCGGACCUCACGCUAUCAGAUGAGCCUAGGUCGGAUUAGCUAGUUGGUGGGGUAAAGGCCUACCAAGGCGACGAUCCGUAACUGGUCUGAGAGGAUGAUCAGUCACACUGGAACUGAGACACGGUCCAGACGCCUACGGGAGGCAGCAGUGGGGAAUAUUGGACAAUGGGCGAAAGCCUGAUCCAGCCAUGCCGCGUGUGUGAAGAAGGUCUUCGGAUUGUAAAGCACUUUAUGUUGGGAGGAAGGGCAGUAAGUUAAUACCUUGCUGUUUUGACGUUACCAACAGAAUAAGCACCGGCUAACUUCGUG